AUAUCACUGAACCAUUUGAGAUUAAAGCAGGAGAAAACAAAAUGCUCCUGUCAGGUGCAAAACAGAAUUUUUGAAGCACAAAUUCAACCAUAAUCCCAUUUACUCGCGAAUUAUUCACAUAUCUCAAACACGAUUAGAUAUUUAGUUUAAACAGAAAUCACAUUCAAUUUCAAACCCAUGAUACAUCUAAGUAAAUAACAGCAUCAAAAUUACUAAUAAAUCAAAUGAGUUGACAGAACUCUUGUAUUUUAUCCCUCCAUGACAAACUAACAUAAGAAGAACCUCCGAUUUAACACCCACAUGCUUCAAAUGAUUAAAGGCAAAGUCUACUGUCAAUAAUCAAAUAAAGGUUCGCAACAGAAACAUGAAUCCAAACAUCAGAAUCAAAGUCUGGAAGAAAAUCGACAUUAUGUAAAGUAUUCAAAAUGAUCUUGACGGGUUAAACUAACCUCAAAAUUGAUACUAAAGUGUGAAUAUUCCAUAACAAAAAAUUAGCAACAAACUACAACACAUGUAAUUCUAACACGUCUUAACAUGAUUCUUGAGCACUUAAACUCACAACAAAGAAAACAAAAACAGAUGAAAUAUUGAGGAAAAGAACCUGUUUAAAUAAGGAUUUCUUUAAUAUUGAUACAAGAAUCGUCGAAUACCAAGUUUUAACUCCAAAUUCAAGUGGAAAUAACAACAGUAUCGAGCAGAACUUGCAAGACAAAUCGAAAUUUCGAAAGACCACUUUGGACAAAAUCGACAGAAUGUAGAAAUUCAAAACCCCAGCCACAAUCUUCAACUUGAGAAUUUAAUCCAAACUUCUUUUUCAAAAACGAUAAAUCAAGAAAAAAGAAAUAAGGCUAGAAAAAUAUCUGUUUCUGUAAUCUUUUUUGUUUUUUGUUUUUUGUUUUUUAUUUAUUCUCUUAAAACAAAACAAAACUCGAAUGAGAGCUGAACUCAAACCAUUUUUUGUUUUUUGUUUUUGUAUCUUUUUUGAAAAGAUAAAAAUCAGACUAAAAAGAAAAAAAGCUUGAAGGAAAGUGACGACUAAAAAACCCUAGAAAUUUACUCGACUAAGUUUUCUGAAUAUUUUUCUUCGAUUUUUUUCCCUCCCCUCGCAAACAAGACUUACCUUAUAUAUAUAUAUAUAUAUAUAUAUCGACACACACACACACACACAUAUAUAUACCUCUGCACAAAAUUCAAAAAAACCUUCAAAUUUUUUAAUAAUGUUUGGGACAAAUGGAGGGCGUGGAUCGAUUUACAUCUAUCCACGACUCCCAUUCAUCCAACAAAUCGUUCCUAUAGUAUAGAAAUCGUGCGAUUUUGAGGGAAUAUUUGUAUUUUCUGACAAAACCAUUGGGAACAGAGGUGACGUGGAGGGGAGGGGACCAUGUGAGUGAACUCGAAGACGAUUUAAGGACCGGGUAAAUUAAAGAAGAUGAAGGAACAGUGUAGGGCGUCGUUUCUAGUUUAAUUCGAUCUA
rnacentral:lncRNA from 1 species